rnacentral:misc_RNA from 1 species
UUUCCGUAGGUGAACCUGCGGAAGGAUCAUUAUCGAGACUACCACGCCUGAUGCUGGCCGCGAGGCAUGUGCUCGGCGUCUCGUCCCACACCUCUGUGCACCUCCGAGGGGGCGUCAGCCGCCUCGCUUCAUACACAUCGCAAAGUCUAGUCGAAUGUAUAACUUAAACAAAUACAACUUUCAACAACGGAUCUCUUGGUUCGGGCAUCGAUGAAGAACGCAGC